GUUCUCGUUUUGAGAUAGUAACCAGUCACUUAUGUCAAGUGUCAACUACAGUGUUUCAGAUUUAAGCGUGGCUUGCAUUGCAACUUCCUAAAUUUCUCACCAGUCACUUCACUUCAGUCUUCUUUCAUGAUUCACACAUUCCAUGCUUCUACCCUACUGAAUUUUCACACUAGUCCUGUCUAGCAGUCGGCUUUUCUUCCAUUUUCUAGUUUUCAUACUCAAAUUUGAUCCUCUAUAUAUCACAUUCUCGAUCUUAUUCCCAAGACUAUAAAACUUAGCUUCACCGUUUUCGCUCUUAUCUCGGCAAGAGAAAUGGGAUCCAGUUCUUUCCCACAGCCUAACUCAAAUUGGUCAGAACAGAAAAACAAGUUGUUCGAAAAUGCUCUUGCUAUAUAUGACAAGGAUAGCCCAGAUCGUUGGCGAAACAUAGCCAGUUUUGUCGGAGAAACAACCGAAGAGGAAGUGAAGAAGCAGUAUGAGAUCCUUCUAGACGAUAUCAAGAGAAUCGAGUCAGACCAAGUGCCACUGCCAAAUUACAAGAAUCAUGAAGAAAGCAUCAAGGAAAACAGCAACAUGAGCAAUUAAUGAAGGGGAUAGGCUGCAGCAACUGAAGCUCUAAUGAAGAAUGGUCUCAGCUGUAGAGACGGCAAUUUUUCCUUGAUUCAUCAUCACCCUUAAACUUUUUUCCUUUCAAGUAUAAUAAAUUCUAAACAUAUAUAUAUGUACCAAAGAUGAAACAUUAGCAUUUUCUCCUUUGUAU